rnacentral:lncRNA from 1 species
AUGAUCAAAGCCCUCCGGACCCUGGAGACGCUUCCCCGCGGGGCUCAGCACAGAACCAUCCCACACGGGUCAUGGAAUAGAAUCAUUAAGGUUGGAAAAGACCAACCGGGACCACCCCGCGGCAGCUCCUCGAAGCCGGGAGGCCAGGCCCGGCCGCCGCCCGGGGUCCUCCUCCCCGCCGCGCUGGGAGCAGCGCCCGGCCCGGCCCCGCCCCGAGGCCGCCGCCUCCUUCAUCGCGCCCGGGGCCAGGCAGAGCCCGGACGCCUCUCGGGUCUCCGCGGAGACCGGGACGGCGCCGCCCCGGGGGAAAGAGAAAGAGAAAGAGAAAAAGAGGGGGCCGGGGGAGGUGGAGGCACAGAAGCAAGGUUCACUGGUCUGUAUUUCCCAGGGGCUUCCUUUCUACUGUUUUAAAGCAGGUGAGCUGUUUCGCUUUUUCUACUCACUGUGGACUUCGCCUAACUGCCAUGACUGUUUCACAUGUUGUUCCACACUAUCAUAGAUUUGGGAAUACAUGUAAUAUGCAAAGAAAGACGUGAAAAUAAAUUUCUGCCUGUAGCAGGACCUUUUGACAGCUCUUGCUGCCAUGUAAGGCAGUUGGAUUCUUUCCCACAUAGAGCUUCUCUGUCAUUCGUAACAGUACAUUGAUGGAUGCCUUCUAGAGAGAUUAAAAUGUAUUUUUUUGACUGAUCUAACCAGGGAAAGUCUGGUCAUUAUCUGAAGGUUUCUGAGAAAACCGUGAGUCCUCAGGCCCCAAGGUUUUAGUAGCAUUAUGUAGCAAGUAGAAGCAAAGACAGUCAACAGUACAAGAGCAUUCAGAAUAAGCCUAGAUAACUGGAAACUCAGAAACCUAAGUGAAUGUUAGUACAUCAGUUGUCAAACAAAUUUUACCUAGGUCAUCAUUUGAAAAUCUCUUUUUAAAAUGAACAAAACAGAAGAAACCACACCUGUAUCAGAAGGAUAAUUCCAGCUCCAGUUAAAAGUCUUUCUCCCAGAUGUAGACAUUGUAUUGAGCAUUACCUCAAGGCAGCAAUUCAGAGCUGUGGCAGAUGAAGAUGCAUUCUUAAUUCCUUGGACAAAUGUGUCAUUUGUCUUGCUACUUUAUCACUCCGCUAAUUUUUCAUUGAACAGAAAUAGGAUCAAGCUAGGAUGUACCAUCCAAUAACUACUUUGUCAAUUGCUCAUACGUUGUUGUUUUUUUGUUUUGUUUCUGAUCAUUAACAAAACUUUGGAAAAGUUGAGUGCAGAAAAGUUUCUCUGUGCAACAAAGAAUUCACCUGCUUUUGCAUACUUGUUGACAAGGUCCUUUAGAAACACAGUAUUAUGAGACAAGAAAACUAACACUGUUUACUAAAUUUUUAUUCUGUAUUGUAACACCAGCUUCUAAAUUAUUCUAGAACCUUCCCAUGCAAAGUUUUUGGGGAUAAAUUUGCUUUCUGUCUCAUAGAUCUAGACAAAUUCGUAUUUUCUGAAAUAGGUACAGCUGAGGACAAUGCUUUACAGACUAGUGUAGGAACAGAAAAUCUCUGUAGCAGAUGGUAAGGCUAUAGCCAUGUAGACAUAGCUCUGACUUUUGCUUAUUUUACAACUCUUUUGUGACCACUGCAACAGAUUCUAACAUCCAUCCUCUAGCAGCUGAGUUGCCGUGUUAAGACUUCGGAAGCAAUUAUUUAAAAUGAAAGAUCUCUCAGGGAAUUUUAAAAUCUUAAUUCAUAGCCAUCUUCUCACUAAGAGGAUAAAACACAGCUAGGGUGUUAUCAUGUACUGUUUGUUUUUCCAAGUCAAACAUGAGUAAAGGAAGGUCUUGUAAGCUUCCUGCUCACCUCUAGGAGAAAUAUGGGAGGAGUACGGAUGGAGUGAUGUGAUGCUGAGGUUCCCUGCAACUUAUUUGAAUAUGUACACUCAGAAUUUACUUUUGGCUAUGCAUAUAAAAUAUU